AAGUCUCUAGGCAAUGGAUGUCUUGGCUCCUCACACGAUGAAGAACGUGGCAUAAUGUGUUAAGUAACCGGAGUUGCAAACAUCAUGACAGGUUAAUCUUUGAAUGCAAAUUGCACUUAUCCCGGUCUCGGCCGGGGGAGUAUGGAUGCAACAGUACUACAUA
rnacentral:rRNA from 1 species